rnacentral:rRNA from 1 species
UUGGCCUCAAAUCAGGUAGGACUACCCG